rnacentral:rRNA from 1 species
UAGGGAAUCUUCGGCAAUGGACGAAAGUCUGACCGAGCAACGCCGCGUGAGUGAAGAAGGUUUUCGGAUCGUAAAGCUCUGUUGUAAGAGAAGAACGAGUGUGAGAGUGGAAAGUUCACACUGUGGCGGUAUCUUACCAGAAAGGGACGGCUAACUACGUGCCAGCAGCCGCGGUAAUACGUAGGUCCCGAGCGUUGUCCGGAUUUAUUGGGCGUAAAGCGAGCGCAGGCGGUUAGAUAAGUCUGAAGUUAAAGGCUGUGGCUUAACCAAAGUACGCUUUGGAAACUGUUUAACUUGAGUGCAAGAGGGGAGAGUGGAAUUCCAUGUGUAGCGGUGAAAUGCGUAGAUAUAUGGAGGAACACCGGUGGCGAAAGCGGCUCUCUGGCUUGUAACUGACGCUGAGGCUCGAAAGCGUGGGGAGCAAACAGGAUUAGAUACCCUGGUAGUCCACGCCGUAAACGAUGAGUGCUAGGUGUUAGACCCUUUCCGGGGUUUAGUGCCGUAGCUAACGCAUUAAGCACUCCGCCUGGGGAGUACGACCGCAAGGUUG